rnacentral:rRNA from 1 species
CGUAGGGUGCGAGCGUUAAUCGGAAUUACUGGGCGUAAAGCGUGCGCAGGCGGUUUUGUAAGACAGAUGUGAAAUCCCCGGGCUCAACCUGGGACCUGCAUUUGUGACUGCAAGGCUAGAGUACGGUAGAGGGGGAUGGAAUUCCGCGUGUAGCAGUGAAAUGCGUAGAUAUGCGGAGGAACACCGAUGGCGAAGGCAAUCCCCUGGACCUGUACUGACGCUCAUGCACGAAAGCGUGGGGAGCAAACAGGAUUAGAUACCCUGGUAGUCCACGCCCUAAACGAUGUCAACUGGUUGUUGGGUCUUUACUGACUCAGUAACGAAGCUAACGCGUGAAGUUGACCGCCUGGGGAGUACGGCCGCAAGGUUA